rnacentral:rRNA from 1 species
GAUGAACGCUGGCGGCGUGCCUAAUACAUGCAAGUCGAGCGAACAGACGAGGAGCUUGCUCCUCUGACGUUAGCGGCGGACGGGUGAGUAACACGUGGAUAACCUACCUAUAAGACUGGGAUAACUUCGGGAAACCGGAGCUAAUACCGGAUAAUAUAUUGAACCGCAUGGUUCAAUAGUGAAAGACGGUUUUGCUGUCACUUAUAGAUGGAUCCGCGCCGCAUUAGCUAGUUGGUAAGGUAACGGCUUACCAAGGCAACGAUGCGUAGCCGACCUGAGAGGGUGAUCGGCCACACUGCAACUGAGACACGGUCCAGACUCCUACGGGAGGCAGCAGUAGGGAAUCUUCCGCAAUGGGCGAAAGCCUGACGGAGCAACGCCGCGUGAGUGAUGAAGGUCUUCGGAUCGUAAAACUCUGUUAUUAGGGAAGAACAAAUGUGUAAGUAACUAUGCACGUCUUGACGGUACCUAAUCAGAAAGCCACGGCUAACUACGUG